GAUGAACGCUGGCGGCGUGCCUAAUACAUGCAAGUCGAGCGCACCUUCGGGUGAGCGGCGGACGGGUGAGUAACGCGUGGGAACGUGCCCUUUGGUACGGGAUAACUGAGGGAAACUUCAGCUAAUACCGUAUGUGCACUACGGGGGAAAGAUUUAUCGCCAUUGGAGCGGCCCGCGUUGGAUUAGCUAGUUGGUGGGGUAAAGGCUCACCAAGGCUACGAUCCAUAGCUGGUCUGAGAGGAUGAUCAGCCACACUGGGACUGAGACACGGCCCAGACUCCUACGGGAGGCAGCAGUAGGGAAUCUUGCGCAAUGGGCGAAAGCCUGACGCAGCCAUGCCGCGUGAAUGAUGAAGGUCUUAGGAUUGUAAAAUUCUUUCACCGGGGAAGAUAAUGACGGUACCCGGAGAAGAAGCCCCGGCUAACUUCGUGCCAGCCGCCGCAGUAAUAC
rnacentral:rRNA from 1 species